UCAGAACAUCGGAGGCACAAAGGGUUAAUGUCUCUGUAUCAGUGAGGUUCAGACUAGCUGCCUUUGGAACUGAUAGAUGUUUCACUUUGGCCUUAUAAAGACAUUUUAUCCGCUGGAAACCCUUGUCGCAUGACAGGAUCAAAAAUAGCCCAGCUGCAGCCUCUGCUGUCCGUCACCACAUGUAAACUGGCAGGAGAGGAGGCUCUCUUAGCUGCGUCUGCACAUUGUGGACCCAUCGGCUCUGGGGACAGUGCUUUCCACAGCCACACCUGUCACCAAGGGUGAGCCAGUCACCUGAUGUGCCACAGAGCUCUGAAUGUGUGCAUGACCAUGCACGGCGCCUGGUUUCUGACAUACAGUUAAGAACAUCUCUUAAGUGUCCUCAGAAACACUUGGUGACAGGGUUUCUGCUGGCACUGGGAAAGAGCUACAAUUCUAGUAAAAUCAAAUGUAUUUUUAUCUCAGGGAAGACAGAGUUCACCACCCUCUCCGAUAAAGUCAUCUUUUCCAUAGAUUUUCUUAACAAGUGAUUCCAUAGAAUUCUAGAGACCAAAAAGGAAAAAAAGAAA
rnacentral:lncRNA from 1 species